CUCGGCUAUUUCACAUUGCGAAUUAUGAUGAAGUAUUGUUGUUUGAUUGUUUUCAUCUUUUGCACAAUUGAUGUGUCAAAUGGCGGCAUUCUUUCUGGAAUAUGCAACGCCUCCAACGGUACCUGUGGAAAAAAAGGUGUUCCAUGUAAUCAGACAUUCGGGUCUGAAUGGACGUAUACCGGAAAAUGCUGCAAUGAACGACCAUGUUGCAAAUUUUUAAAACCGCAAUGUGUUCCAGAAACUUGCCCAGCGGGUUACAGGCUGUUACCAAACGAAAACAGUAGUACUAGUUGUUAUUUAUAUG